rnacentral:lncRNA from 1 species
GUUGACUGUCGAGGAGUGAACAUCUCUCUGACUAAACCAAUAUGGAAGCUUUCGAACGACAAGAGUGUCAGGCUGCGAUACUUUGUGAAAAGAAACAGCAUGUUAUUGCUGUAUUGUUGCGAUCAUCAUUAUGACUUGUGUUUUACUAUAUCAAGUUUACCUUUUUUAAUUUAAAUUGCAUGGGACGUGCUGUCAUUUUAGCUUUAUAAAUAAUCCGUCUGAGAAAAGGAAUUGUGUUUAAUUUUAUAUUCCCAAUAGCGAGGCUCUUCUUUCUAAGUUGGAUGGCGUUAAAUCUCCGUGUAUCAUCAACGUGAAAACAAGCGCAGUAUUUUAAUAAGGUUGGUAUACUACAAUGCAUUACAGUUAUCGUGUUAUUUUAUAGUCAAAUUUCCGCUUUGUUGUUUUUAUUCUUGUACUGUAAUUUUAUAAAUACACUGUACAAAAUUAUGGCGUCAUACUUGUGUUUAUAAUGCCUCUAAUUUGACCCUAUUGUGUGUGUAUAUGUACUGUGUCACUGUGAUACAUAUGUACAUGUUUUGAGUUAAACGAAUUGUUUAAUAAAUUUUUGCUGAAGUAUGAUACCUGUUUGUAUGGAUAGAUUUUUACAUAUAUGUGCACUGUGUAUAGUUUAUACAUUGGUUCUCAGAUGAGUCUGAAGGUAUAUUGUUAUUCAGUUAUUUGUAUGUAUUGUUUUAUACAUUUUGCUGAGUAUGAUGCCUGUUUGUAUCUAGUUGUGGAUGGUUGUGAGAAUAUAAUUUUAGAGGUUACAUGUUUGCUAAUUUUAGAGAUGAUAAUGUAUCAAAUAAUAAUUUUCUUGUUAUGAUUUUGUAGAAAGAGAUUUACUUGAGUGGUUGGUUGGUCUUGAGCCUGUUCAGGAUGGAUAUGAUAAUGAAAGAGGUGAUCAAGGUGAUAGGGCAGAAAGUGAUGACGUUUAAGUGAGAAGAUGAAAGUGAUGAGGAGGAAAUCGCCCACGCUGUAGCAUUCAAGUGCAUCGGUGAUGCUCGUGAGAAAAACUACCAACAUCAUUUGGAAAAUUAAAUUAAAACAUAAUACCUCACUCCUCAUGAACAAGAUAAAACAGUGAACGUAAGAAUAUGGCCAGCACCAUUGAAUCCAAGGGACCCAAGUGCAAUAGGCAAUUCCAGCUUUUAGUUUAUUUUAUUAAAAUUUUUCAGCAUAAUCAGCAAUAUGAUACCUUACUGCCUGUUGCCCCCUGCACACAUAAAUUAAAAGCUGGAAUUGCCUAUUGACUAGACUAUGGAACUGGAUGACAACAUGUUGGUUAUAUUGCUUUUCAACUAUGCAAGUAUUUGCACCCACUAAUUGCUGCAGAUGUCGUGGAAGUCUAUUGUCUAUGUUCAGUGUAUCAAGUAUAGGGUUGACUUUUAUAAUUAAAAAGGGUGGAUUUUUUAAUUUUUUUUAAAGGAGGGGUGGAAACCUUUCAGGGGGGGGGGCAAGCAGCACCACUGAGUGAGCUUUUUACAGGGGUUUGGCAUUAGGGUUAAAGACUUUUGAAGCAAAAUUUUGGUGGGGUUGAACACUUUAUAAGAUGGGUUAGAGAGAUUCUAAGGGGGGGGGGUUAACCCCUCCUAACUCCCCCCCCCCAGUAAAUCCGCCCAUGAUUUAAUCCAAAAAUUUUCAUAAUGAAACCUGGUGAGUGGAGACUCAAGUGGUAGGAAAAAGCAUGUGUAUGUUGACAGAUGUUUUUAUAUAAUAAAUAGCAAUUAGCUAUGUUUAGCAAGUUAUUAGUGCAUUUAUUUCAAUUGGCUAACUUUUUUGUUUUUUUCCAGCAUUUUUAAACAAACCAUAUGUUAUAAAUGAUAUAACUGGGUAUAUCUAAUUAAAACAAUCUGUGAUGUACACUCAUGCAAAUAAGACUAAGUACAUAAAUAACAACCUCAUACUUAGGGGAGAAAAGACCCGGGUAGAUGCUGGUCACAUGGUCUGCUAAAAUCUAGCAGAUUUUUAAUUAGCAAUCCAAGAUGAGGUCAAUAAAUAUUUGAUAUUUGGAUGAUUUUUAUAUGUUAAUUUAUAAUUUGCAUUUUGUAUAUGAUUGUCAUAAAGGAUUCAAGAUAGUUAAUUAGAAAUCUGCUAGAUUUUAGCAGAUCAUGUGACCAGCAUCUGCCGGGGUCUUUUCUCCCCAAGAGAAAGGACUCUGGGUAGGAGGUCGCAUAAAUAACUGUAAAAAUGUACUUUAGUAAAUGAAUAAUUUAUCCAUACACUUGAUCUACUUUGUGAGUAUUUUUUCCAAUUAAAAUUGAUGCAACAAUAAAACAAGAAGAUGUCUAUUUAUAUAUUUAUUAAAUUGAUCCGAGAUCCCAACAAUAACAUGCUACUUAGGGAGUGGUCAUUAUUUAUGGGGGGUGGUAAAUGGGAG